GGCACGUGGGGAGGUGCUGAGGAGCCGAGGCCACGGCCAGCUAGACGCCGGACUGUCCAGCGAGCACUGCAGCGGGAGUCGGCAGUCGGAGCAGCCCCGGAGCAGGAGCAAAAGCAGCAGCAGCAGCCGUCGCCGUUAGCGGAGCGCAGCCGAGCCGGCCAUGGCGUUGUCGAUGCCGCUGAACGAGCUGAAGGAGGAGAACAAAGAGCCCCUCAUUGAGCACCUCGUCAAAGCUGGCAGUGAUGGUGAAAGCAUAGGAAACUGCCCCUUUUCCCAGAGGCUCUUCAUGAUUCAUUGACUCAAAGGAGUUGUAUUUAGUGUCACAACUGUUGACCUGAAAAGGAAGCCUGCAGACCUUCAGAACUUAGCUCCCGGGACCCACCCACCAUUUAUAAGUUUCAACAGUGAAGUCAAAACGGAUGUAAGUAAGAUUGAGGAAUUUCUUGAAGAAGUCUUAUGCCCUCCCAAGUACUUAAAGCUUUCACCAAAACACCCAGAAUCAAAUACUGCUGGAAUGCACAUCUUUGCCAAAUUCUCUGCAUUUAUUAAGAAUUGAAGGCGAGAGGCUAAUGAAGGACUGGAGAAGGAUCUCCUAAAAACUCUGCAGAAACUGGAUAAAUAUCUGAAUUCUCCUCUCCCUGAUGAAUCUGAUGAAAAUAGUAUAGAGGACAUUAAGUUUUCUACACGUAAAUUUCUGGAUGGCAACGAAAUGACAUUAGCUAAUUGCAACCUGCUGCCCAAACUGCAUAUUGUCAAGGUGGUGGCCAAAAAAUAUCACAACUUUGAUAUUCCAAAAGAGAUGACUGGCAUCUGGAGAUACCUAACUAAUGCAUACAGUAGGGACGAGUUCCUCAAUACCUGUCCCAGUGAUAAGGAGGUUGAAAUAGCUUAUAGUGAUGCCAAAAGACCCACCAAGUAA